AAACAAAAAAAGAGUCCGUGGUGUCGCACGAUCUGGGCGGGCCCAUCUAGGCCGCUGGCUUCAUCGAAAGCAGACUCUGUCUCGCCCUCGGCGAGACAUAGUCGCGCCCGUCCGGGGCGCUCUCGACUCAAGGCCUGCCCUACUUACAUCAUCCGAGUUGCUUCGCGGCCCACACAGGCCGUGCCCACCUGUAACGUCGACGUUUUGUGUGCCAUCCAGGUUCGAUGAAUCCGGGCACAAGUCCACGUUCGAUGAACCUGCCCUUUCACGAGUAUUCAAAAAAAAA
rnacentral:lncRNA from 1 species